ACUCAUUAAAUGGUAUUGGUGUUUUAUGAAUAGAAAUUUUAAUUUGACCAUUUUACCCUUAUUUUGAAGUUCAAAUCUUAGGAAAUAAAAAUGUAAUUAGCUUCAAAAUACACGUCUACUUUGGAUUGGUACGACCAAUUGCCACCUACCCCCUACCCCUUUCUUUCUCUAGAUUCUGGACGUAUCAACGGUACCAUUUCUCUACCUCGUUCGUUCUCCACUCCUCACAAACCCUAAAAACCCUCUUCUUCACCCAACCCCUCCGAUCUCAAUCCAGUUCAACCAAAAACCCAGCGAUCACAAGCGCAACCACCAGUUUCGACCGCCUGAGUGACUUCAUCAACACCUGUAAAGCCCCAAAAGAGGCGAAAUAGCGAAGCUGUCACAAUUGAGGCUCGAGUACGCCAACAAGGUGAAGGAAUUUCACUUUGGUUUUGUCCUUGAAUUUUGGAAUUAUUUGCAGAGUGGACUAGUUCUAUGUCUUUUGUUUGUCACAGAAUUUGUGGUAGCAGUAUUGUAUUCUAUGAUUUGAUUUCUUGGACUACAUGGUAAGAUGGAAGCUGCAGUUCUAACCCAAACAGGACACUCGAAAUUGGCAUUUCUCCAGAUCGAAUUUGUAAAAUCCAAUUCUUAGUCCACUCAAAAGGCCCCAAAGGCUCUAACUCACUCCAAAGGUGAGCUGUUGUGGCUUAUUUGAAUUAUGAUCACAGUUAUCACAAAUUCAAUCUAAAAAAUGAUCUUUAUUUGAACCCCGACCCAGCCAUUUACAAUCUCGGAUGGGCUACCAGCUUGCCUAGCUGGUCUCCCCUUCGACAUUCUCAUAGGAGAUAAUGAAAAGAGCAUGGAGUACAUAGAAGUUAAAGCAACCAAAUCUGCAAGGAAGGAUUGGUUCGCUAUAUCUGUGAGAGAGUGGUGAUUCGCAGUUGAAAAAGGUGAACCUUUCAGCAGUGCACAUGUCGUUUUAUUAGGUAACAAUAAGGCAAGGAGUACAGUAUUAAAAAAUCCAGUAAAGCUAUCCCAUCUAGGGAAGCUGCAAUAGCCUGUUUUGAUGCCAACGCAGCAGAAGGAAAUUUCCAUCAAUUGCUGAUGGUGCUACCUGUUACAUAUGUACUACGAGUUCCACUCGGAUGCUGGGGGAAUAUGACUUCUCAUUUGCUCGUAAUUUCCAAAAGGAUUAUUUACCAAUUGACUUAGUUUGGGUAUAUAAGGGCCAUUUGGUGCUCCAUCAAAUAAAAAUGUCUCUAGGAAGGACAAGAUAUGGUGGACAAGUGCAGCAAUUUAAAAACUUCUAUAGGGUUGCAGCAUACACAGAACUACAUGAAUAAAGCUAUGUUCCUUUGCACGGCAAUUCCGGUGUGCUGAAAGCAUACAACCAUCAAUAAGGGUUUUGCAUAAUCUGGAGAACUGACCAGUGGUCACCAUAUAUAGUUUAAGUUGUACCGGCAGAAUUUUUUCCUUUUCAGGAUUUGUGGCAGCAGUGUAAAUAUUGUCAACAACUUUUACAUUCUUUUCCCCUAUAUAUAUAUUUUUUUAAUCGUUCA